UUUUUUUUUUUUUUCAAGCAGAAGACGGCAUACGAGAUUUCUGCCUGUCUCGUGGGCUCGGAGAUGUGUAUAAGAGACAGGAUAUAUGGGGGUAGAGCACUGAAUGGGCUAGGGGGCUUCACGGCUUACCGAAUCUUAUCAAACUCCGAAUACCAUAUAUUACCUACUCGGGAGUCAGACAGUGUGAGAUAAGUUUCAUUGUCAAAAGGGAAAGAGCCCAGAUCAUCAACUAAGGUCCCAAAGUGUAAGUUAAGUGGAAAAGGAUGUGGAAUUGCAGAGACAACUAGGAUGUUGGCUCAGAAGCAGCCACUCAUUUAAAGAGUGCGUAACAGCUCACUAGUCGAGUGAUUGUGCGCCGAAAAUGUCCGGGGCUAAAACUUACCACCGAAGUUAUGGGUGCAUCGUAAGAUGCGCGGUAGAGGAGCAUCGUAUUAGGAUUGAAGCCAUACCGGGAGGAGUGGUGGACUUAAUACGAGAGAGAAUGCUGGCAUAAGUAGCGAGAGUGAGGUGAGAAUCCUCACCGUCGAAAGCCUAAGGUUUCCUGGGGAAGGCUCGUCCGCCCAGGGUAAGUCGGGACCUAAGCCGAGGACAGUAUCGUCGUAGGCGAUGGACAACAGGUUGAUAUUCCUGUACUACCGACCAUUCGUUUGACUGACGCAGUGACACAGGAGGAUAGCAGGAGCGGGCUGAUGGUAGAGCCCGUCUAAGCACUGAGGGUGGAAAUUAGUGAAGUACGGUUUCCGCGAAGCCUGAGGUGUGAUGGGGACAGAAAAUAAGUAUGGAAGUCUGUGAAUCCACACUGGCAAGAAAAGCUGCUAAGGAGAAUGGUAGGUACCCGUACCGCAAACCGACACAGGUAGGCGAGGAGAGAAUCCUAAGACGAUCGGGAGAAGCAUUGUUAAGGAACUCGGCAAAAUGACUCCGUAACUUCGGGAUAAGGAGUGCCUAGUAAAAUAGGUCGCAGUGAAUAGGCCCAAGCGACUGUUUAGCAAAAACACAGGUCUGUGCGAAAUCGAGAGAUGAAGUAUACGGGCUGACGCCUGCCCAGUGCUGGAAGGUUAAGGGGAACUGUUAGCGUAAGGCGAAGCAGGGAACUUAAGCCCCAGUGAACGGCGGCCGUAACUAUAACGGUCCUAAGGUAGCGAAAUUCCUUGUCGGGUAAGUUCCGACCCGCACGAAUGGCGUAACGACUUGGGCACUGUCUCAACAAUGUACCCGGCGAAAUUGUAGUAUGAGUGAAGAUGCUCAUUACCCGCGAUAGGACGGAAAGACCCCGUAGAGCUUUACUGCAACUUGGCAUUGGAUUUUGGUAUUGGAUGUACAGGAUAGGUGGGAGACUGAGAAGCGUUGACGCCAGUUGACGCAGAGUCACUGUUGGGAUACCACCCUUCCAAUACUAGGGUUCUAACCCGAGGCCGUGAACCGGCUCGGGGACAGUACCAGGUGGGCAGUUUGACUGGGGCGGUCGCCUCCGAAAGAGUAACGGAGGCGCCCAAAGGUUUCCUCAGAAUGGUCGGAAAUCAUUCAUUAGAGUGCAAAUGCAUAAGGGAGCUUGACUGCGAGAGGGACACCUCGAGCA
rnacentral:rRNA from 1 species